GGGCGUGUAGCUCAGCGGUAGAGCGUUGCACUCACAUUGCAAAGGUCUGUGGUUCAAAUCCACACACGCCCA
rnacentral:tRNA from 1 species